rnacentral:misc_RNA from 1 species
GAUGAAGAACGCAGCGAAAUGCGAUAAGUAAUGUGAAUUGCAGAAUUCAGUGAAUCAUCGAAUCUUUGAACGCACAUUGCGCCCUCUGGUAUUCCGGGGGGCAUGCCUGUCCGAGCGUCAUUUGCAACCCUCAAGCCCGGCUUGUGUGAUGGGUGCCGUCCCCUACGGGACGCGCCCCGAAGGCAAUGGCGGCGUCGCGGUUAUCCGAUCAGCCAAAGUGUAUGGGGCUUUGUCACUCACUUUACGGCCCGGACCGGCGCCAGUCCGAAUCAAUCUUUUUUUCUAAAGUUGACCUCGGAUCAGGUAGGGAUACCCGCUGAACUUAAGCAUAUCAAUAAGCGGAGGA